AACGAACGCUGGCGGCAUGCUAAACACAUGCAAGUCGAACGCUUCAUCGGGGCUUGCUCCGAUGGGGAGUGGCGCACGGGUGAGUAGCGCGUGGGAACCUGCCCAGUAGUGGGGGAUAACCGAGGGAAACUUCGGCUAAUACCGCAUGCGCCCGGGGGAGUGAUCUUCCGGGGAAAGAUUUUAUCGCUAUUGGAGGGGCCCGCGUCGGAUUUAGCUUGUUGGUGGGGUAACGCCUACCAGGCAUUGAUCCGUAGCUGGUCUGAGAGGAUGAUCAGCCACACUGGGACUGAGACACGGGCCAGACUCCUACGGGAGGCAGCAGUGGGGAAUAUUGGACAAUGGGCGCAAGCCUGAUCCAGCAAUGCCGCGUGAGUGAGGAAGGCCUUAGGGUUGUAAAGCUCUUUCGCACGCGACGAUGAUGACGGUA
rnacentral:rRNA from 1 species